rnacentral:rRNA from 1 species
UACGGAGGGUGCAAGCGUUGCUCGGAAUUAUUGGGCGUAAAGGGUAGGUAGGUGGUCUCAUUUGUCUGGGGUGAAAUCCUUGAGCUUAACUCAAGAAGUGCCUCAGAAACGGUGAGACUGGAGUUCUGGAGAGGGUCGUGGAAUUCCCGGUGUAGCGGUGAAAUGCGUAGAGAUCGGGAGGAACACCAGAGGCGAAGGCGGCGACCUGGACCACAACUGACGCUGAGGCGCGAAAGCUAGGGGAGCAAACAGG